rnacentral:rRNA from 1 species
CCUACGGGUGGCAGCAGUGAGGAAUAUUGGUCAAUGGCCGGAAGGCUGAACCAGCCAUGCCGCGUGAAGGUCAGUGCCCUAUGGGCGUUAAACUUCUUUUGUGCGGGAGCAAUAAUGGUCACGUGUGGAUAUUUGCAUGUACCCUAUGAAUAAGCAUCGGCUAACUCCGUGCCAGCAGCCGCGGUAAUACGGAGGAUGCGAGCGUUAUCCGGAUUUAUUGGGUUUAAAGGGUGCGUAGGUUGUUUUUUAAGUCAGCGGUGAAAGUUUGUGGCUCAACCAUAAAAUUGCCGUUGAAACUGGAAGACUUGAGUGUGUUUGAGGUAGGCGGAAUGCGUGGUGUAGCGGUGAAAUGCAUAGAUAUCACGCAGAACUCCGAUUGCGAAGGCAGCUUACUAAGCCAUAACUGACACUGAAGCCCGAAAGCGUGGGGAGCAAACAGGAUUAGAUACCCUUGUAGUC